GGAUUCUACAGGCAUCCCUGGAGCAAGAGGCUGCCCAAGGCGUGGAGCUGGGAGGGCGCUUGGACGGAACCGUUCAGGUGGCUAGGAGCUCUGCCAGCUUUGGUCACCUUGGGUAAGUCUGUACCUCAGUUCGCCUCCGGGUCAUCCCCAGUGGGGAUGCAGGAAAGGGUUGAAAGAGGCGACUAGAAUGCCCCCUUGGGGCAGGGUGUGUGCGAGGGUCCCUGGCAGAGCCAGACCGGGACCAGGGACUUCUAGGAAGCAGGAGCCAGCAGUGCCUCUGGUGGGUGGGCGCAGGGCAUGUGUGCACUGCAAGCUGGGGAGAGGGGACCGCGCACCCUGGCUUGUUGCUGGGCUCAGUCCUCCAGACCCACGUCUGCCAGACCAGUCCCAGGUGCAAAAUAGGGGCGCUACCUCUUUAAAAGCGUCCGGGCUGAGCCUCUGCCGCACCAUGUGAUUGCCUGAAAGGCCCGGCUAGGAGCUCUGCGGCGGGAGCCUGGAGGACCGUGAACUGCUGCGCGCGGUGCUGAGAGCCCAGCUCUGCCUGGAGCGGCCUCAAGCCCUGAGUGGCACCAGGUGUCCGGAACUUUGGGCACAGCCUCUGGGACUCCCUGGCCACCAGCAGACAGGAUGGUGAGCUCCCUGCAUCCUGUUCUGUGGGCACGGGUAGGCAGAGCCAGGCACUGGGGACCCCUGUGGGGUGAGUGUGUGCUGGGAACUGCCUCACACCUGAUAAAAUAGCCGGUGGAGGAGUGAGUGCUGCUCUUUUAUGUUGUCGAAUGGAUCCGCUGGGACUGAUAAGGGGAGGGGACAAAGAUCCGGCAGAGAAAGGGUUAGGGUACCCCACCAGCUUGGGCAGGCACUAGAUGUGCCAAGUGGGGCACAUCUCCAAAGGGCAGCUGGACUUCCAGAGCUGCCUGGGUUCCCCUCCCCUUCCCAGGCAGGCCUUCCCACCCCAGGCUUCCGUGACCACAGGUGCUUGCCUCCUGCCCCUUGGUGCCUGUCUGCUGAUGUGCCCAGCCUGUGCCCACCAUGCCGCCCUCCAUCUCGGCCUUCCAGGCCGCAUAUAUUGGCAUCGAGGUGCUCAUCGCCCUGGUCUCCGUGCCUGGGAACGUGCUGGUGAUCUGGGCAGUGAAGGUGAACCAGGCACUGCGGGAUGCCACCUUCUGCUUCAUCGUGUCACUGGCAGUGGCUGAUGUGGCAGUGGGCGCUCUGGUCAUCCCACUUGCCAUCCUCAUCAACAUUGGGCCACAGACCUACUUCCACACCUGCCUCAUGGUCGCCUGCCCUGUCCUCAUCCUCACUCAGAGCUCCAUCUUGGCCCUGCUGGCAAUCGCUGUCGACCGCUACCUCCGUGUCAAGAUCCCGCUCAGGUACAAGACAGUGGUGACUCCCCGAAGGGCUGUGGUGGCCAUCGUUGGCUGCUGGAUUCUCUCCUUUGUGGUGGGCUUGACACCUAUGUUCGGCUGGAACAACCUGAGUGCGGUGGAGCGGGCCUGGGUGGCCAAUGGCAGUGUAGGUGAGCCCGUGAUCAAGUGUCAGUUUGAGAAGGUGAUCAGCAUGGAGUACAUGGUCUACUUCAACUUCUUUGUCUGGGUGCUGCCCCCACUGCUGCUCAUGGUCUUCAUCUACCUGGAGGUCUUCUACCUGAUCCGCAAGCAGCUCAACAGGAAGGUGUCGGCAUCCUCUGGCGACCCGCAGAAGUACUAUGGGAAGGAGCUGAAGAUCGCCAAGUCGCUGGCCCUCAUCCUCUUCCUCUUUGCUCUCAGCUGGCUACCCCUACACAUCCUUAACUGCAUCACCCUCUUCUGCCCUUCCUGCCAUAAGCCGAGGCUCCUCAUGUACAUCGCCAUCUUCCUCACACAUGGUAACUCGGCCAUGAAUCCCAUCGUCUAUGCCUUCCGCAUCCAGAAGUUUCGGGUUACCUUCCUUAAGAUUUGGAACGACCACUUCCGCUGCCAACCUGCACCCCCCAUCGAUGAGGAUCCUCCAGAAGAGAGGCCCGAUGACUAGACUCCACCUCCUGCCCCCAGCUGCGCACAUCUGGGGCAUCUCAGCCCAGUACUCACCUCCCUGCUGUCCUGCUCGUCUCCCUUGUCUCCCUGACUCUUCCCUACUGGCCUUUGGGCUGUGAGUGCCCUGCACCUCGAGGUCCUGGAGGAGUUUUGGGAGGGCAGUCCAUGGGGAAAGAACGAGGCCUCGCCAGCAGCACCCUGCCCUGCAGCGUCUGUGGAGCACCCCCAGGACUGUGCGUGUUCGUUGCCUGUGACUGCAGAUUUGUACUCAGAGCUGGCUGCCCCCUUCCCUUCUCACUCCCACCCCUGCUCCUGGCCUCCAGCCCCAGAGGCAGCGGAGGGAGUGCAUGCAGCCACUUACCUUCCUGCUCAUCACAGCCUCCACCAGUGGCUCUUCAGUGUGUGGCUGAGGCUGGGAGAGAUCUGAAGCGCUCAGCCUCGUCUAGUCCAGCAGGAGAAGAGGUGGCUUCUCCUGGUCUCCCAUCCAUUGGAGGGUUCCUAAGGAGUGACCCCUCUCAAGUCCUCACCUUUGACCUCCAGCCGGCAGUCCACAGAUGCCUCCCCCAGCACAUUGAUGGCCUUGCAGGUGUAGACCCCGGAAUCGAAGGGGCUGGGUUUCCGGAUCUCCAGGGUGCAGACACCUUGCUCAGAGAGGGCGCGGUAUUUGGGAUCACCCUGGAUGUCCAUCUUGUUUUUCAUCCAGAUGAUCCUGGGCUGGGGAAGCAAGGUCAGAGGAGAGCUGGGAAGUUUGUGGGCCAGGACGAGGCUCUCGAAGGCCAUCCUCCACUUAGGGAAAGAUGCCUGGGAAGAUUCUUCAACCCCGGUGCCCCUGCCCAAGGCACAGCAGGGCCCUGCCCCUCACCUUGGGUGACGCUCGGACACUGCAGAAGAGCUGCGUGCUGUAGCCAGGGGUGGAGGUGUGGUCAGCCAGGGGCUGGGUGAACGAGGGGGCUUCUGAGAAGUCUCGCUCAACAAAACUUUUAGGUUUGGCAACAAUAUCUGGUUUGGAGGGAGAAAGUAGGGUGAAUUUGAGGUUACAGGAGGAGACCUCUUAAGACUGACUUUAUCCAUUUUCUUAAAAUCACUACAGCUUACACUUCGGUAUGCCAUUUAAUCUACACAGCAUUCCUUUGCAAGGAUAAAUUUGUCAUCCCCAGUUGACAGAUGGAAAACUAAGACUUUCCAUAGAUGAGGGACUUGCCCAAUAUCACGUAGUGAGUUUGCGGCUUACGCGAUGGAAGGUCACAUGAUGACUAUGGCUCUCUGAGCAGAGAGCUGGUGGUCUGGAGGAAAAUUAAGGGCGGGAGACAAUCCAUUUCACCCCUGCCUCCUCAUCUGGAGCCCCAUGGCAGGACCCUAGGCUCCUGGGGUCUUUGGGAAGCCAGGCACAGCCAACAUGCCGGAGCUUAGAGGCAGAACGUCUCAAAGAGGCAGAGGAAAGCCGGAACGACAGCUGGGUGAGUCACAGAGGGGAGGAGAGAGGGGAGUGGGCAGCAAAACCAAACAGAUGAGAUGAUCCUGGCUGAGGGUGGAGACUAAAAACCCAGGGAUUCUACAUUUCAUUUCUGUUUGUCUUUGGAGACUUGACUGGCUUUCUUCUUUUAAAUGAAAAUUUCUUCCUAAUUCUG